CCUACGGGCGGCAGCAGUGAGGAAUAUUGGUCAAUGGACGGGAGGCUGAACCAGCCAAGCCGCGUGAGGGAGGAAGGCCCUGAGGGUCGUAAACCUCUUUUGUCGGGGAACAAAAGGUGGGACGCGUCCCCUUAUGCGUGUACCUGAUGAACAAGCAUCGGCUAACUCCGUGCCAGCAGCCGCGGUAAUACGGAGGAUGCGAGCGUUAUCCGGAUUUAUUGGGUUUAAAGGGAGCGCAGAGGGGCCGUUAAGUCAGGUGUUAAAGUCCGGGGCUCAAACCGCGCACUGCCGUUGAUAAUGGCAGUCUUGAGUGGGGGAGAGGUAUGCGGAAUGCGCGGUGUAGCGGUGAAAUGCAUAGAGAUCGCGCAGAACCCCGAUUGCGAAGGCAGCGUGCUGGGC
rnacentral:rRNA from 1 species